GCGGAAGGGGGUGUCCCUGCUGCUCCUGUGCCCGCGGCUGACAGGCAGGGAACCAGGACGGAGACGGACCCUGGCCGCGUCCAGGGUUCAGGACUUCCAUCGAAUUGAGUCUUAUUACAGCUCAAGAUACAACCCCUAAAAAUCAUGGAUGAUAUUCGGAAAAGAUGAAAACUCUAACUCGAAAAGAUACAUGCACCCCAACGUUCAUAGCAACACUAUUUGCAAUAGCCAAGACAUGGAAGCAACCUAAAUGUCCAUCAACAGAUGAAUGGGUAAAGAAGAUGUGGUGUAUAAGAGACAUUGGAAUACUACUCAGUCAUAAAAAAGAAUGAAAUAAUGCCAUUUGCAGCAACAUGGAUGGAUCUCGAGAUUAUCAUUCUAAGUGAAGUAUCUUAUUUCCCAGACCAAGGAUCGAACCCAGGCCCCCACAGUGAAAGCAGCAAGUCCUAACCACUGGACCACCAGGGAAU